rnacentral:lncRNA from 1 species
CAGGGCCACUGGUGCAGCUGGAGAAAUGAUUCUCAGGUUCUAAGAAGCAUCAGUAAAGACAAAUUCAGGGAGUCCAGCACAGAGGACUUCACAGCACAUCAGAGGUGAAGAAAUGUGUUUUGCACAAAUGUCUCCUCCUCAGGCCAAGCCUGAAUGGUUUUCUAAUAUCUUCACUCAGGAAAGAUCCUGUCUGCAAAGAGGCCCGUGACGGAUUUGCUAUUAGCUCCCUCAGCCCACGGCUGUCAACACCCUGCGAACACAUGGAGAGCAAUUGCUGUUCCCAGGCCAUGUGCAGAAACGGGUCCCCGAGGUCAGCCACAGAGUCUCACUUGCCUAGAACCACAGCCUGGUGGGUGGGGCAGGGGAUCGGGGCGGGGGGAACUUGGGGCGCACGGGGAGGCAGAAACAACCCCAGGCUCUCUCCC